AGAGUUUGAUCCUGGCUCAGAUUGAACGCUGGCGGCGUGCCUAACACAUGCAAGUCGAGCGGUAGCAGGUGUAGCAAUACAUGCUGACGAGCGGCGGACGGGUGAGUAACGCUUGGGAAUCUGCCUAUUAGUGGGGGACAACCCGGGGAAACUCGGGCUAAUACCGCAUACGCUCUACGGAGGAAAGCCGGGGACCGCAAGGCCUGGCGCUAAUAGAUGAGCCCAAGUCGGAUUAGCUAGUUGGUAGGGUAAUGGCCUACCAAGGCGACGAUCCGUAACUGGUCUGAGAGGACGACCAGUCACACCGGAACUGAGACACGGUCCGGACUCCUACGGGAGGCAGCAGUGGGGAAUAUUGGACAAUGGGCGAAAGCCUGAUCCAGCGACGCCGCGUGGGUGAAGAAGGCCUGCGGGUUGUAAAGCCCUUUCGGUGGGGAAGAAAAGCCUCGACCUAACACGUCGGGGNGUUGACGUAACCCAUUAAAGAAGCACCGGCUANNUNNGUGNCAGCAGCCGCGGUAAUAC
rnacentral:rRNA from 1 species